rnacentral:rRNA from 1 species
UAAUUGAAGAGUUUGAUCAUGGCUCAGAUUGAACGCUGGCGGCAGGCUUAACACAUGCAAGUCGAACGGUAACAGGAGAAAGCUUGCUUUCUUGCUGACGAGUGGCGGACGGGUGAGUAAUGCUUGGGAAUCUGCCUUGUGGAGGGGGAUAACUACGGGAAACUGUAGCUAAUACCGCGUAAUAUCGAAAGAUUAAAGUAUGGGAUCUUCGGACCAUAUACCACGAGAUGAGCCCAAGUGAGAUUAGGUAGUUGGUGAGGUAAAGGCUCACCAAGCUGACGAUCUCUAGCUGGUUUGAGAGGAUGACCAGCCACACUGGAACUGAGACACGGUCCAGACUCCUACGGGAGGCAGCAGUGGGGAAUAUUGCACAAUGGGGGAAACCCUGAUGCAGCCAUGCCGCGUGAAUGAAGAAGGCUUUCGGGUUGUAAAGUUCUUUCAGCGAUGAGGAAGGGUUUGUAUCUAAUAGGUGCAAACAUUGACGUUAGUCGCAGAAGAAGCACCGGCUAACUCCGUGCCAGCAGCCGCGGUAAUACGGAGGGUGCGAGCGUUAAUCGGAAUAACUGGGCGUAAAGGGCACGCAGGCGGUUGUCUAAGUCAGAUGUGAAAGCCCCGAGCUUAACUUGGGAAUUGCAUUUGAGACUGGGCGACUAGAGUCCUCUAGGGAGGGGUAGAAUUCCACGUGUAGCGGUGAAAUGCGUAGAGAUGUGGAGGAAUACCGAAGGCGAAGGCAGCCCCUUGGAGAGAGACUGACGCUGAGGUGCGAAAGCGUGGGUAGCAAACAGGAUUAGAUACCCUGGUAGUCCACGCUGUAAACGAUGUCAAUUUGGGGGUUGGGCUUUAAGCCUGGCGCCCGUAGCUAACGCGAUAAAUUGACCGCCUGGGGAGUACGGCCGCAAGGUUAAAACUCAAAUGAAUUGACGGGGGCCCGCACAAGCGGUGGAGCAUGUGGUUUAAUUCGAUGCAACGCGAAGAACCUUACCUACUCUUGACAUCCAUAGAAGAGACUAGAGAUAGUCUUGUGCCUUCGGGA